rnacentral:rRNA from 1 species
CAGUAGCCGCUGUAAUACGAAGGGUGCAAGCGUUAAUCGGAAUUACUGGGCGUAAAGCGUGCGUAGGCGGUUUGUUAAGUCUGCUGUGAAAUCCCCGGGCUCAACCUGGGAAUGGCAGUGGAUACUGGCAAGCUAGAGUGUGUCAGAGGAUGGUGGAAUUCCCGGUGUAGCGGUGAAAUGCGUAGAGAUCGGGAGGAACAUCAGUGGCGAAGGCGGCCAUCUGGGACAACACUGACGCUGAGGCACGAAAGCGUGGGGAGCAAACAGGAUUAGAUACCCCCGUAGUCCCUGUCUCUUAUAC